UCGAAAAUGUCAAUUUUUAGAAAGAAAAUAAUAUCACAAGAAAAUAAUAUCAAAAAAUUGACCGCGGACUAAAAUCCAAGCAUCUUACAAAAUAUUUUAAACACUUCCAGCACUCACAGACUUGUCACCUCUUUUUAGCCGGUCUAUUAAACAAAGAUAAAACACCUGCGUUCUGACAAUUCCUACUUUAGGCUGUGCAAGUGAUUGUGUAUCUCUCUCUAUCCCACUGAAUUUAAGAAUUACGGGGCCGUACCCAAACAAAUGUUUGGACCGUUUUUGUAUUAUUUUCGUCGUGUUUUUAAAGAGAUCUUUACGGAUGGGUCUAUCGCCUUUAAAAUACUUGUUGGAUGGGUCUAUCACCUUUAAUAGUUGGGAGGGGGGCCAUGCGAGGUUAUUAUUUGAUGUGUCUUGCCGGUUAUGCUUUUUACACGUUUAUGAAAGUAAAGAAUUUAGAAUUUUGCCUGUAUUCGUCUAAAUUUUUUGCAGUUUUUACUGUGAGGAACAGUGUUUUUUUAUUUGUGUUUGUGGAUUUGUUUUGGUAUUAUACCUAAAGACCUUGAAAUGUUUCGACCCUGGAAAAAUAAGCAGGAAAAUUUGGCAAAUGAAGAGGAAAGUGUUUGUGCGGGCUUAUGGAGACCGUCGGUGUACAAGAAAGACAAUAACAUUUGUGAUAAAAACAAUAAGAGUGAUCUGGGCAGUGAUUUAGACUUACAUAGUUCUGAUAGUUCAUUUUUUAAUAUUGAGGAAGCAAAAAGAAGCCAGGGAAGUAGAAGCUACAGAGGAAAUCAAGCAGUUUUAAAAGAACAAAUUUACCUAAAUAUCUAUAACAAUCUAAGGAAUGAUACUCAGUUCACAAAUGAUUGUAGUGCUUUGCAAAAAAUAGCGUUUUUAACAGGGGUUCCCUAUAGUACAAUAUGCCUGUAAAAAAAAGGAUUAAAGACAGAAUAAAAAGGAAAGAUGCAGGACAAUCAAAGGGACUUGACAUGGAUAUUGCCAAAUUGCUAAGGAAAGGUGCGUAUUCUAAAUACAAAAACAAUGAGGUUCUGACCAUAGAGACACCUUAUCGGCAAGGGACAAACAUUUCUCAGUCUCAACCUUGCGGAGAUACCUAAUAACGCUUGGAUUUAAGCUUAAGAUGGUUAACAAAAGAGCUGCUGUAAUGGAAUUGUCAGGUGGUGUAUAGAAUAUUUGAGGAAAAUUAAAAAAAUUUGGGAGGAAGAAAGAUCCAUAUAUUAUUUAGCCGAAACAUGAUAUGAUACAUUUAUGAUUGAUGUAUGAUUUCCAUUCUCUGGGAAAAAAGUCUCUUUUUUGCCAUACUUACUGCCCCUGUUUGUCCUUCAGUGACACAAUAAAGACUGCUUCUUCCACCAUUCUCUGGGAAAAACCCUUUUUUGCUAUGCUUACUACUCCUGUUGUCCUUCAGCAACACAAUGAAGACUGCUUCUUCCUUCAUUCUCUGGAAAAAAGUACCUUUUUUGCCAUACUUACUGCCCCUGUUUGUCCUUCAGCGACACAAUAAAGUAUAUAUAAUGUAAUGCUUUAGAAUCCAUAUGCUGAUGUGCGAGAUGAAGUUGGAAUCCAUGGCGGCAACAGAGAAACUGUUUCCUUCCUUAAUGGAAGAAACUGCUAAAGAACAAUGGCAAAACAACAGAAUUUACAAAAUUUGUAUUAACUUUUUGGGCCAGAUUCAAAAGAGUGGUUAAAUUUAUAAAAGUAUUUAGUAUCCUCACUGUAGUUUUAGGAUCCAGUAUACUUAAAAUGUAGUGUUUUGUAUAAGAUUUUUAGUUUUUAGUAUAAGCAUUUAUUUUUGUUAAUUUUUAUCUAAUCUCUCCUAAUAUGCAUAAUAACUAAA